rnacentral:lncRNA from 1 species
UCGCCGGUUGAGUAUAUAAUUUUAAAAGUUUCGUUAGGCAGGAUGGCUGAAGAUAAUUCAGUCGGUAUUUCUACCGAGCUGUUGAUGCUGUUUUGUCCUCCUUACCAUGAUGUUGCAUCUUGUGAUCUCAAUGCUGAAUUUUGUUCGUAGAAAAAGUUGGGGUGACUGGCUGGAAGGUGUUGAACUGGCAACUAGACUAACUCUUGGAGGAACUAUUCAUCUGCAAAAUAUAUCAAGCUUUUUAUUUUCAUUGAUAAAAAUCCACUUGCUGUUGCUAUUGGAGGUGGCAAUUGUACCUAAAUACUGGUAACGAUCCAAUAUGACGAUUGAUGUUGUCCGCAUAGUGAAGUCCAUUUUGGCUAGCCAAAGAAGUCGGUGGACGGAACAUGUCAGACCUUCGUUGACAAGGAUUUCGCUAGUGGCUGUCUAAAACACACAAAUGCAGGAAUAUUCAGCAAACGAUAGCGAAUACUUGAGCUCGGAAUUGAUUUUUAGAAACGGAUGGUUAGCUGUCUUGAAAGACAGUGCUGAAUUAGGAACAAAUUGUUGCGUGAAAUAUCGCAAUUGACAAGACUAAUGAACAUUGUGAAUAGGAGAAGCAUCCUGAUGGACGUUUGUUGCCAAGGAAAUUUACGUUGGUUGAAACGGUGUCUGAAAAUUCCCAAUUUUCAUGGUUACAUUUUCAUUCUUGUUUAAAAGUAUUUUCAUAAAUAUUGAAGUGCACGUCUGAUCUCUUGCUUCAUGUAUACCCCGUUUCCCCUUGGCUUCUGAUAGUCCCGUAUCGGGUCGUGCUGGUGCUGAAAUUUUUAUGUUAUAUAUGGUGUGUUGUAAGGUUUUUCUGAAGUGUUCAUUAACUUUAAAGAUCUAUCAAUCUAUUGGAUAUACCCAGAAUAAGAUCCUUAUGUGGGUUAAUUAGUGGCUUCUAUAUGUUUGCUAAAAUUGUAUUGCAACUGAAUGAUAAUCUAAAAUAAAACAAAACUAGCAAAAUUUAA